rnacentral:rRNA from 1 species
AUUGAACGCUGGCGGCAGGCCUAACACAUGCAAGUCGAACGAGUGGCGGACGGGUGAGUAAUGUCUGGUAAACUGCCUGAUGGAGGGGGAUAACUACUGGAAACGGUAGCUAAUACCGCAUACCAUCGGAUGUGCCCAGAUGGGAUUAGCUGGUAGGUGGGGUAAAGGCUCACCUAGGCGAGGAUCCCUAGCUGGUAUGUGAGGAGGACCAGGAAGACUGUGAAUGAGAGACGGUCCAGACUCCUACGAGAGUCAGCAGUGGGGAAUAUUGCACACGGGGCGCAAACCUGAUGCGACAAUGCCGCGUGUAUGAAGAAUUCCUUCGGGUUGUAAAGUACUUUCAGCGGGGAGGCGUUACCCGCAGAAGAAGCACCGGCUAACUCCGUGCCAGCCGCCGCGGUAAUAC